CCAACAUGUAGGAGGUUCGGCGGCCGAAUGAACCUUCGGCUGCCGAACCUGAGUUCCUCCAGAACUCAGCUUCAACGGCAAACCAUCUCCUCCUUCCCUUCAACACGGUCUAACAUGCAUCCUUCACGUAUUCAACACACAUAUACUCAAGUAUAUGUUCACAGGGGUCCAAAACUAGCUAAUAACCCCAAACAACAAAACAAACAUCACACAUCAACAUGUAUACAUACAUAAAUCAUCAAAAACUACCAUGAAGAACCUAAGCAUGCUCUCCUUCCUUUCACUCUUCAGAAAACAUAUAAACAGGGUCUAAAACUGCCCUUACCUCUGGAAACAGGAAGAUACACACACUGAACAAAGGAAAAACAGAUCAACCUCUCUUCAAACUCUCAAAAGCGUCACUUUUGUUUCUCUCAACUCUCAACACCUUUGCAAGCACCUCAAACUGCUGUAAGAACAACCAAAAACAUGUACAGAUGAGUCAUAAGAGACGUGGUCAUUCCAUGGCAAGAAUCUGAGGCCAACACUUGUCAAAAAAAAACAUGACUCAGCUCACUAGCCAACUCAGCUUCGGCUGCCCAAUCGCAUGC
rnacentral:lncRNA from 1 species